GACUGGCAGACAUAAAGAGUUUUAGGACGAAGCAAGUCUUUCUCCAAAUGGCAGUCAGCGAGUAGUGGAGUGCCACAGAAACCAGUGCUCAGGCCCCAGCCAAACAAGUGUGAACAGGAAAGCUUGGAAGAAGAGCUGAUUCCAAAAAGAAAUGAUUGAGAACAAUGAAAAAAUGUAACUUGUGGACAUUAACACAACACAUUAUGUUGACAAUCUUCUCAAAAUGCUCACAAAUGAGCAUUUUUCACGAGUGCAACGUCUGAAAUGCGGGAGGGUGAGGAAGCAAAUAGGCUACUCACCAUCUGAGAUUGAUUCUUCGGACAGCCAUUGAUGUCUUCAAUCUUUUCAUGUGCUGAAAAAUGAAGGAAGUGGUGUGUUUAAGUUUCUCAGCUUAUUGAACAGAACAGCUCGUCGCAAGUAAGGCAAGUCAUCAGCAAACAACCUCACCAAAGCAGAGAUACACUCAUCAGGAUUCUGUAGGGUUUUCAGCUGGGUGGCAUCUACCCAACCCACAGCAGCUGAGGAGCAAGGUCAUCUCCUAAAAGCAGACAACUGUACAACAGCUCUAUUUAACCCCUUCCACACGGGUUUCCCUUUGGUCUCCAUCAAAAGUCUGCAUGCACAAGCCUCAUCGGUGGUGGGUCAAGUACGCCACACUGUCAUGGGCAGGAUUAGGUUUCAUGAUUACUCCAGACACUAAAAAAAAGACAGGGAUAGCACAGAUGGAAACUGCAUGAAGCCUCCUCGGCAAGUGCAUUUAGCUGCAGAAGUUCAAACACUUUGUUUACCUCUCACCUCUGAACUGAUUUCUCCUGGCCCCACCUGCUGCCAGUUGUUCUAGCAUGACAAUGACCAACUAAAAGACCCUACUGUGCCAUCCCAUGCCACCCUGUGUGGACAUUCCCCCACAUCUGACACAGCAGUCGUGUUGUUAGUGUACAAUACUGCUCAAACGUGCACAAGUGUAGCAGCAGCAGGCCAUUCAGCCCCUCGAUCUUACUUCAUCGUUCACAGGAUCAAAGCUGAUCUGAGUAUGACCAUAAAUCCAAAUUCCUGUAAAUCUUUUACCUUCUUACACAUCAAGAAUGUAUUCACCUCUGCCUUAAAACUAUUCAAAGACUCUGUUUCAACUGCCUUUUCAGGAAGGAAAUCAAAGGUUAUGGGAAAUGGCAGGAAAAUGGAGUUGAAAAUGAUCAGAUCAGCCAUGAUCUUAUUGAAUGGGAUAGCAGACUCAAUGGGCUGAAUGACCUACCUCAGCUCCUAUGUCUCAUAGUUUAUUAAGUUUUUUUUUUAUUUGGAAUACCGACUGUUGGUUGGAAUGCAGGCAGAAUUCCCCUGCUCUUCUCAAAUGCCGUCCCCAGGGACCUUUUAAUUCCCCGGACAUGGAAGUUCAGGUUUAGCAUCUCAUGCAAAAGACUGCAUUUCUGAGCCCCAACAUCUUCUCCCUAUCCAUAGGCUUCACAGAGGGUUCAGAAGAGAUUUAUUAGAAUGGGCUGCCACAGUAGGAUCUUUUAGUUGGUCAUUGACACACUUGAACAACUGGCAGGAGGUGGAGCAGGAACAACAGAAGCUCUUAAGAGCCGAGGAGAUUUGAUGGAAUAUAAAACAAUGAAAGGUUUAACAAGAAUAAGCAAAAACUGUUUCCAGUGGCUGAUAAUCAGAUGACCCAGAUUGAAAGAUACUAGCACAAUCAGGAAGGAAAGAAAUAGCCAGGGUAGGACUGACUGUGGUGUUAAUCAAUUUGAUCUUUGAAAGGACUGAUACUGACUCAAUGGGCUGAAUGGCCUCCUUCUGUGCUACACCGUUCUAUGGGAAUCUGAAACACAUUGCAGAAACUGUUGAGGAUUAAAAGGGGGGUGGGUCUGGGGAUAGAGAGAGAGGAAAACUUCAAUGCCCAUGAUUCCUCUCCCUGGCUCUGCCGAUCAGACACUUAAAUGGUAAACUGGUGGGCUUCUCAGCCAAUCAGGGAUGUCCUGCCCCACUUGGAGCUCUGCCAAUCAGAGGCCAGAGUGAGUAACAGGGACUAGUCAGAGGCCCAGGCUACUGGCUGAAGCAUCACUGAAGGCUAGGCCCAGCAGAAAGGUUUAUAAGGGGAAAUCAUAGGCUGGGGCUGAGCAGGAAAUGGUGUCUGGGGCAAGGGUAGGAGAUUGGCUUUCAGGGGAGGAGAUGGCUUCAUGUUAUUGAGCGAGUAAUCCAGAAACUGAGGUAAUGUUCUGAGGGCUCAGAUUCAAAUCCAUGGUAGAUGGUGGAAUUUGAAUUCAAUAAAAAUCUGGAAUUAAGAACCUAAU